UACUCCUACGGGAGGCAGCAGUGGGGAAUAUUGGACAAUGGGCGAAAGCCUGAUCCAGCCAUGCCGCGUGUGUGAAGAAGGUCUUCGGAUUGUAAAGCACUUUAAGUUGGGAGGAAGGGCAGUAAGUUAAUACCUUGCUGUUUUGACGUUACCAACAGAAUAAGCACCGGCUAACUUCGUGCCAGCAGCCGCGGUAAUACGAAGGGUGCAAGCGUUAAUCGGAAUUACUGGGCGUAAAGCGCGCGUAGGUGGUUCAGCAAGUUGGAUGUGAAAUCCCCGGGCUCAACCUGGGAACUGCAUCCAAAACUACUGAGCUAGAGUACGGUAGAGGGUGGUGGAAUUUCCUGUGUAGCGGUGAAAUGCGUAGAUAUAGGAAGGAACACCAGUGGCGAAGGCGACCACCUGGACUGAUACUGACACUGAGGUGCGAAAGCGUGGGAAGCAAACAGGAUUAGAUACCCUGGUAGUCCACGCCGUAAACGAUGUCGACUAGCCGUUGGGAUCCUUGAGAUCUUAGUGGCGCAGCUAACGCGAUAAGUCGACCGCCUGGGGAGUACGGCCGCAAGGUUAAAACUCAAAUGAAUUGACGGA
rnacentral:rRNA from 1 species